UACAGAGGGGGCAAGCGUUAUUCGGAAUUAUUGGGCGUAAAGGGCGCGUAGGCGGCCUUGCAAGUGACGGGUGAAAUCCCUCGGCUUAACCGAGGAACUGCCUGUCAAACUGCGUGGCUUGAGACCAGGAGAGGUGAGUGGAAUUCCCAGUGUAGCGGUGAAAUGCGUAGAUAUUGGGAGGAACACCAGUGGCGAAGGCGGCUC
rnacentral:rRNA from 1 species